GUGGUUUAAUUCGAAGCAACGCGAAGAACCUUACCAGGCCUUGACGUGCAGAGAACUUUCCAGAGAUGGAUUGGUGCCUUCGGGAACUCUGACACAGGUGCUGCAUGGCUGUCGUCAGCUUGUGUCGUGAGAUGUUGGGUUAAGUCCCGUAACGAGCGCAACCCUUGUCCUUAGUUACCAGCACGUUAUGGUGGGCACUCUAAGGAGACUGCCGGUGACAAACCGGAGGAAGGUGGGGAUGACGUCAAGUCAUCAUGGCCCUUACGGCCUGGGCUACACACGUGCUACAAUGGUCGGUACAAAGGGUUGCCAAGCCGCGAGGUGGAGCUAAUCCCAUAAAACCGAUCGUAGUCCGGAUCGCAGUCUGCAACUCGAUUGCGUGAAGUCGGAAUCGCUAGUAAUCGUGAAUCAGAAUGUCACGGUGAAUACGUUCCCGGGCCUU
rnacentral:rRNA from 1 species